ACGUAGGGGGCAAGCGUUGUCCGGAACUAUUGGGCGUAAAGCGCGCGCAGGCGGCUAUUUAAGUCUGGUGUUUAAGCCCGGGGCUCAACCCCGGUACGCACUGGAAACUGGGUGGCUGGAGUGCAGGAGAGGGGAGUGGAAUUCCACGUGUAGCGGUGAAAUGCGUAGAGAUGUGGAGGAACACCAGUGGCGAAGGCGACUCUCUGGCCUGUAACUGACGCUGAGGCGCGAAAGCGUGGGGAGCAAACAGGA
rnacentral:rRNA from 1 species